rnacentral:tRNA from 1 species
GUUUUAAUAAUUUAAAUAAAAUAUUGGUCUUGUAAACCAAAAAUGAAUAUAAUUCUUAAAACU